AUACCAUUGACGUAUAAUACAAUCGUAUUAUACGUCAAUGCUUCAUACUCCUAAUGGAGCCUACAGCCAUUAACCUCAAACUCUUCUUCUUCUUCUUCUUUGAAGCUUUAGUGGAACCUCAAACUCCAAUUGAAUAAGCUCGUGCAGCGUGCAGGCAUAGAAUAAAGAGACUAACGUCAACAGAAGCGAAAGCCCCCGCCAUUUUCAUGUCGACGAAGCAUACCGAAAGGAGGCUGUUUCAAUAAGUACUGUUUACGUUUGCGGUAGGUCGACGUUUUGGAGAGGUCGAAUAAUAACAGAUACAUACGUUUUAAGGAAUUGAAAGAGUUUUCUUUUAACUUAUUUAUCGUUAAACCGAAGAAGUACUGUAAAUUCGCUUAAAAUUUAAAGUUUUUUUCCACUUUUAUAUUUGUAGGUAACCUCGAAAUUGGUUUCAAUAAGGACCGACUCUGAGCGGAAAAAUGUUAACAUUGGUUCUUACGGAGCUUUCGCUUCUGUUGACGUAGUCUAUUUAUUCUAUGGUGCAGGCGUGCAGUCGUGCGGUAUGGUUUAGCCAAUUUAGCGAGCGGUUGAGCAAGUUAGUAAUUUACUAAUUUCAAUUUCUUAUUUUCACGUGCGUGACCUUAAUUGCGCCAUGUUUCGGUGUUAUGGUAAUUAUUGACAAUGACUUUCAAGUUUUGCUCAUCGUCAGUUGAAGUUUUAUCCAUUUUUCGUACGUUUUAGAUCGUGAAAUUCGGUGUCGAACCAUUCUUGUUACCUCACCAACUGAGGUAACCUGCACCCCUCCGAAGGAAACUUUUAAAGUCUAUUGUGAAAUUCAGUGUCGAACCAUUCUUGUUACCUCACCAACUGAGGUAACCUGCACCCCUCCGAAGGAAACUUUUAAAGUCUGUAAGUAGCAUAUCAGUCAAUAUAUUUUAAUACCAUAUGUCACUGCAGAAAAUUUCUCUCGGAGGUCAGUGUCUUCGCGACUUCGUCUCAUGAAAUUCCCCAAUUGGAACGCGAUUAUAAGCACUUUGCAGACAAGUAAUACACCAUAUUAAAUGCGUCUAAAUUUUGCUUGUAAUAUGCAAAAAUACUCACCUUUCCCCAAAAAUAAUAUGCUGAAUG
rnacentral:lncRNA from 1 species